UUUUUUCGACCAGUCACCAGUGAACAGUAAAAAAAGUCACUCCAGUCGCACUGUUUUUUUUUUUUGCAUACCUGUGAACAGUAAAAAAAAAGUCAGUCAUCCUGUUAAAUUACUACCUGGAAGCUCUCAAUCUCGUUUUUGGGUCCAGCAUGCUGUUAUACAUUUGGAAACGUAAAAGCCAUUCACGUUUUUUAAAGCUCAAAUGCAACAGUGAGCUUCUUGAGACAAGGAUCAUUUGUCUUGGGAAAUACCAGUCAAAAUUGGUAUUACCAAUUGAAUUAAAUAUGCCUUGUUUCUUGGCCUGAAGGAGCCACUUUAUGAGCAGAAUUUGCACGUCCAGUUGCUUAAAUUAACCUGCACAGAUAAAACAAGAAAAAUUAAUCUGCAAUUCUGCUAAGUUGAUUAAAUUUAUUUGAUUUAUUGCUCUAUUUUUCUAUAAAACAACGAUGAAAAUUGAGUUUUUAAUUUUUAAAUUGAUAUAUUAUUAUUAACAUAUUAUUGUUAUUGAGU
rnacentral:lncRNA from 1 species